rnacentral:rRNA from 1 species
AUUGAACGCUGGCGGCAGGCCUAACACAUGCAAGUCUAACGAGUGGCGGACGGGUGAGUAAUGUCUGGGAAACUGACUGAUGGAGGGGGAUAAAUACUGGAAACGGUAGCUAAUAACGCAAACCAUCAGAUGUGCCCCGAUGGGAUUAGCUUGUUGGUGGGGUACCGGCUCACCAAGGCGACGAUCCCUGACUGGUCUGAGAGGAUGACCAUCCACACUGGAACUGAGACACGGUCCAGACUCCUACGGGAGGCAGCAGUGGGUAAUAUUGCACAAUGGGCGCAAGCCUGAUGCAGCCACGCCGCGUGUAUGAAGAAGGCCUUCGGGUUGUAAAGUACUUUCAGCGGGGAGGCGUUACCCGCAGAAGAAGCACCGGCUAACUCCGGGCCAGCAGCCGCGGUAAUAC